GGUUCGAUGGUGUAGGGGUUAUCACACUUGUCUUACAUGCGCAGAAAUAUCGAUGUUUCACAAGAGGUCCCCGGCUCGAAACCGCCAGGUCGAACCA